UCGCUGGUCGCUCGCGAGCACGCCCCGCGCGCCUCCGCCACGGGAGUCACCGGGUGAAGAUGAGCCCUUCCACGCUGUGUGCGCAGCCCGCCGAGCGGCCAAGCUGUUGGAUAAAGACUGCUGGCAGAUGAAAAAAGGAUGCACAGGAGGUGCUGCCGUGUGGGAAACUGGCUACCGCUUGUCCGUUUCUCUUCUGCUUACACAGGCACAGUCCUGUUAGAUGGAUAGCGAAGCUUUUUUUCUUCUACUUCAAGUGCCCUCUAGCGAGCAGUGUCUGCGCAGGUUGCUAUGUAGAAGGAGGCAGAAAAAGAAGGAGGGGAAAAGAAACCGCUCCACUCUUCUUCUUUCUCUCCUUGCCAGGGUUAUUUCCACACAAGUUCUUGGCAAAACAUCAACAACAACAAAAAGGUGUUGCCGCUUUUGCGUGGGAAAUAAAUCACUCAUUUACUACAAUGGGAAGCGAACAGUAAUCCUUUCUCAGGGCUUUCCUUGGAGCGUUCCUUGUGCUCCUUCGCAAAGUUUCACACACUGUGGUAAUCAGGCAAAUCGAAGAAGGGAUAAGCACCCACGGGAUUUAUGAUUUUGAUUUCACUACCUUCUGGAUUGCAUCCAGAGACAUCUCUCCAGUUUUACUGCAGGAUCAUAGGCAUGGACCAGGAGUGCAAAAUAUUUACUCACCCAGGAUGAGAUGAGUUAUAAAUUCUCGAUGAUGACGAAGAAAAAAAUGAGUAAAAGGAAAAAGUACAAUGGGAUUUGUCUGUGCCUACAGCUCUUAACUGGAGCAGAGGGGAUGAUUCCCAUCGGUUCUGACAUAAUGGGGAGAAUAUUGUCUUCAUUUUCACGGGCUCUUUUUUUUCCCCCAGUAAGUAUGUGCUGGGGAAGGAAACUGGGCCCUCGCAGGUUCUAGGUUCUGCUAUAAAUCUACAUGCUCAGGCCUUGAUUUUUUGAGACAACAUCUCAGUAGUAGCCUAGCCCAGUAUAGACCUACAUAACCUGUCCUGUCUUUGCUCCUUGUAACGCUCCUUUCUCCGUCUCCCAAGGCUGAAAUUCAGGUGUGUGCCAGCAUGCCUUGCUAUUGUAUUCUUUAUUGUAGAUGUUCAUGGCUUUCUGUGAGGUCUUGUACUUGGUAGGGUCUCAGUCGUGACCAAAACACUGGGAUUGUUAGAACUGAAGUGGAUAUUUAAGCUCUAUUCAGGUUUCAUUUGCUUUGCUUUGGUUUAUUUUGUAUUCUAAAAUGGUAAAAAAUAAUUCUAUAAUAAUGUGAAAAACCCUUUCUGGCAUGGUUUGAGCCAGAUGAGAUAUUCCUGGCUCCUAUCCUAGAAUUUUUAUUUGUUCACACUUCAUCUUAAUGAUAAUUUUCUUGGUCUGUUAGCAUCAGUUAAGUUUCAUUAUUGUACAUGUUCUCCUAAGAUGCUGGACCUGCUUUCAUAGUAUUUUUUUCAUUACUUGCUAAUUUGGGGGAUACUUGAUCUAUACUGCUUUUAUUUGCUUGACUCUCAGUGUUAUAACAUCUGAGAACUUAUCUUUCAUCUUGAGAAAUAAGGACUUGUAAUUACAGAAGGAAACAUUAGUUCCUUAGUCCUAUUUGCUGAGUGCGUGUGUGAAUACAUGCUUUUUCCUCUUCUCACAACCUUUGUUUACUAAUUUGUAAAGUAGUCCAUCACUGCAUAAAAGCUCACAUUUUAAUAAACCAAGCAGUGCAUUUGCAAGGAGAGAGCAAUAACUCAAUGAGAGUCCACUAUGAUACCUCUGGAAAUUUUCCCUCUCAGUAUUGAUUGACUCUGAAUUGUUGUGCAGAUAGAGUAGAAACAAGAACUCCUGGAGAUGCACCAGCAAACGCACAUGAUAACACUCAGUCUUUCAAUGGUAUUCUACUGGUUGAAGAAAUUUGGAAUUUUUUGUUUGUUUUAUUCUUCAAGACAAGUUUUACUUUGUUAAUUUGUUUUUUUUUUUAUAGCCCAGGCUGUUCUAGAACUUCCUCUGUAGACCAGGCUGGCCUCAAACUCAGAGAUCCCUCUGUCUCUGUCUCCUAAAUGCUGGGAUUGAAGACAUACAUCACUACCACUUGUCUUGGCUACCUUUAUUCUUGAAUUAAAUAAUGUACAUGAUUGUAUCAGU